UUCGAUAUUAUGUAACUAAACCUCCAAUUUUUUUAGCAAAAAAAAAAAAAAACUAAACCUCCAAUACUAUUUCCUUGCUUACAGUUUAGUUAAGUAUGAAAGUGUGUAACAAAACGUGACUGAAUAAAUCAUACGUGUCGUAGUUGAAAUGACAUGACAGGUUUGAAAGAGAAAAGAAAUUAUAAAGAGACCAAUAAAUAUUAAAAUAGUAUGUAUAUUUUAAAAUGUCACCGUCCGGAGGACUCCAUGACAUUGUACACGAGAAACUUGGACGUGUGCUUUGACACGUAUCUUGUCUUGCCUGGACUCAGCCCUGGUCCCUAUUUAUUUUUUAUAAGUAUUAUACACCUUUUUGACCAAAUAUAUUGCCC
rnacentral:lncRNA from 1 species